rnacentral:rRNA from 1 species
AUUGAACGCUGGCGGCAUGCCUUACACAUGCAAGUCGAACGGCAGCACGGGAGCAAUCCUGGUGGCGAGUGGCGAACGGGUGAGUAAUAUAUCGGAACGUGCCCAGUCGUGGGGAUAACGUAGCGAAAGCUACGCUAAUACCGCAUACGAUCUAUGGAUGAAAGCGGGGGAUCGCAAGACCUCGCGCGAAUUGGAGCGGCCGAUAUCAGAUUAGGUAGUUGGUGAGGUAAAGGCUCACCAAGCCGACGAUCUGUAGCUGGUCUGAGAGGACGACCAGCCACACUGGGACUGAGACACGGCCCAGACUCCUACGGGAGGCAGCAGUGGGGAAUUUUGGACAAUGGGCGCAAGCCUGAUCCAGCAAUGCCGCGUGAGUGAUGAA